CGGCGGACGGGUGAGUACACGUGGGUAACCUGCCUGUAAGACUGGGAUAACUCCGGGAAACCGGGGCUAAUACCGGAUGGUUGUUUGAACCGCAUGGUUCAAACAUAAAAGGUGGCUUCGGCUACCACUUACAGAUGGACCCGCGGCGCAUUAGCUAGUUGGUGAGGUAACGGCUCACCAAGGCAACGAUGCGUAGCCGACCUGAGAGGGUGAUCGGCCACACUGGGACUGAGACACGGCCCAGACUCCUACGGGAGGCAGC
rnacentral:rRNA from 1 species